AACGAACGCUGGCGGCAUGCCUAACACAUGCAAGUCGAACGAGACCUUCGGGUCUAGUGGCGCACGGGUGCGUAACGCGUGGGAAGCUGCACUUAGGUUCGGAAUACCUCCCCGUAAGGGGUGCUAAUACCGGAUAAUGUCUUCGGACCAAAGAUUUAUCGCCUUUGGUUGGGCCCGCGUUGGAUUAGCUGGUUGGUAGGGUAAAAGCCUAUCAAGGAGACGUUCCAUAGCUGGUCUGAGAGAAUGGUCAGCAACACUGGGGCUGAGACACGGGCCAGACUCCUACGGGAGGCAGCAGUGGGGAAUAUUGGACUAUGGACGGAGGCCUGAUCCAGCAAUGCCGGGUAAGUGAUGAAGGCCGUAGGGUUGUAAAGCUCUUUUACCCGGGGUGAUAAUGACGGUACCGGGAGAAUAAGCACCGGCUAACUCCGUG
rnacentral:rRNA from 1 species